rnacentral:rRNA from 1 species
ACUGCUCAGUAACACGUGGACAACCCGCCCUUAGGACGGGGAUAAACCCGGGAAACUGGGUAUAAUACCCGAUAGGUCUCGAUUGCUGGAAUGCAUCGAGAUUUAAAGCUCCGGCGCCUAAGGAUGGGUCUGCGGCCUAUCAGGUAGUAGUGGGUGUAGCGUACCUACUAGCCUACGACGGGUACGGGUUGUGAGAGCAAGAGCCCGGAGAUGGAUUCUGAGACACGAAUCCAGGCCCUACGGGGUGCAGCAGGCGCGAAAACUUUACAAUGCUGGCAACAGCGAUAAGGGAACCUCGAGUGCCAGGUUACAAAUCUGGCUGUCGAGAUGCCUAAAAAGCAUUUCAUAGCAAGGGCCGGGCAAGACCGGUGCCAGCCGCCGCGGUAACACCGGCGGCUCGAGUGGUAACCGUUAUUAUUGGGUCUAAAGGGUCUGUAGCCGGCCGGAUAAGUCUCUUGAGAAAUCUGGCAGCUUAACUGUCAGGCUUUCAGGAGAUACUGUCUGGCUCGAGGCCGGGAGAGGUGAGAGGUACUUCAGGGGUAGGGGUGAAAUCUUGUAAUCCUUGAAGGACCACCAGUGGCGAAGGCGUCUCACCAGAACGGACCUGACGGCAAGGGACGAAAGCUAGGGGCACGAACCGGAUUAGAUACCCGGGUAGUCCUAGCCGUAAACGAUACUCGCUAGGUGUCGGCCACGGUGCGACCGUUGUCGGUGCCGUAGGGAAGCCGUGAAGCGAGCCACCUGGGAAGUACGGCCGCAAGGCUGAAACUUAAAGGAAUUGGCGGGGGAGCAC